AUAUAUCAAUAUAUAUUCUGAGGAUAAAAAGCAUCAAAUUCACAGGUGUGAAAUUGGCUGCAAAAUGCUAGAAUUUUCAUUGGCGUGCCAUCCGAAUUUUAUGGAAUAUAAUAAUUUUUAUUUGAGUGGAGAAAUUUUGGACACAUGGAGAUGCCGAUUUUGCGAUUUUCGUCAGGAGACAUAAACGGUGGUUGAUAUGAAUAUAAGCAAUUGAAAAAAAUUCAGAAAUAUCCUUGUUGAAGAAAGCCUGUACUGAUAUGAAUUGUUUGAAGAACUUGUAAGCCUGAAUCCAUUAUUCAAGGAUCUUCAAGCAGCAGAGCCAAUAAAAGUUCUUAGACAUCAAUUGUACAAUAUCCAAAUUAUUGUGAACUGAUAAAAAAAUUCGCAAGCCCUAAAGCCAGAAAAGUGCAAUUUGAAUUGUUUGAAAGAAAUAAAAGUUAUCAAACCUAA